CUUUUAUGCAUAUAGAAUAAAGCAUGAAUUACUCCCUUGGGGAGGAGAUUGUUACAAAUGAAGAUUCCUAGGCCAGACUGGCUACAGCUGGGCCUCAGAGCAAACGUGUGGAAUGAUGGAUAUAAGGCUGAAUUUCUUAACUGUCGAAAAAGUAAGAAAGAACUUGAAAUUAGUAUGAGAAAUAAAACAGAUGACGGAAACUUUUUCGUGAAACAGUGCAACUACAAUAUGCGAAAAAGUAGACAGGUAAAGCACACACACUUGGGAAGUGGAAACAUCUCGAAGUACCGUAGAUGUGAGAAAUAGAAAGAUGACACUGCAGAGCCAUAGUCAGCUGAGCAUGGACGUUGAGAUACUUGUCCGGUAAUUAUCAGGCCUUGAAGUAUAUGAAGUCCAUUUUUGCACCCCCACCCUCUUCUCUCCCUCUCAGUUUUCCACCCUGCAUUUUCACAGUCUGGGCGGCCCAGGAAAUGCCCUGUUGUCUCGGCUUUCCCUUGGCUCCACAAUUCACAUUUGCCUGCUAUCCCCACUUGAUCAGAUACACCAGCCGCUGGGAGAGGCUCAGGGGGUUUCUCUUCCGGGCAACUUCUUUUUCACAGUGAGUGCCCUGACAUCCAGAUGUCUCAACCGAAAGGACUGAGUUCAUAGUGAGAACCUCAGGUAUUCCACAGAGCCCAGAGGAGGAGGUAGCCAGGGGCAGGUGGAUGGUCUGUUCAGAUGUGCUCGUAGCAGCAGCCGAAGUGAGGAGAGUGUAAUUCACAAGAACGUCACUUCCCGUUUUUGGAGCUCAUCAGUGGGCAGGCACUGUGCAUUUUACUCAUUGUCUGAUUUAAUACACAGAACGAGCCUUUCGGCUAAGUUUUACGGAUAAACUGAGGAGGACAGUAUGUAAAUUAACGGGCACAGCUAUGUUCCAAUAAAACUUUGCAAAACUGGCAAAGAGCUGGACAUUGUGGCCCCUCUAGGUCCACCCACAGAGGCUCUGGCUUAUCCAGCAGCUGCCUUGAAGGGCUGGACAGCUAAGCCCUAAAUGCAGGGAGGUUAACACCUAGUGGGACAGGCAAAAAGGCCAAUGAGAGAGCAGAAGCAGGAAGGUGCUGGCAGAUAAAUUGCUCAUAUUUCCCUCCUCCCCCAAUGGAUGUUUCCGACAAGUGGUUUCAUACAGCCCUGAGCAACCAGCUGUGUUUCUUGGAAAUCUGUGGCCAGUUCAUAAAGGCACCGGAAGAGGUGAGGAAACUUGUCCAAGGUCACGGAGGUGGUAGAGCUGAGAAUCAAACCCAGGCAGGUCAGGUCCUAAGCACUUCCUCCAGAGGGAAACCCGAGAUUCACUUCCCUGUCACCAUGAAUGUCUGCAAACUAGUCAGACCAAGAAACGCAACUUCUCACCCUACCAUCUUGAAGCAACAGGAGUCCACUUUUGAGAAGAUGGAGCACACUAUACUAAUUAAAUGAAACGAGAUGACUCAUUUCUGGGAGGGCUAUAUGCUCUGAAGUCCUCAUCCACACCAGACUGUUAAGUCUCACAUAUCGACCAAAAAGGACUAAAUACGCUCAUUAACCACAGACUUUGGCUAAUUCUGAAAUGACUGCUUCGCUGGUACUCAAGUGGCCGUGAGCAGGGAAUAGGAAAUCCACAUUAACCUCAAGAGCUUGGCUCGCGGUUAGAACUACAGCAGUUGGCAGAUCAUACAACCUUACGUCAACCCUGUCGCGCACGCUGCAGAAACAUUUGUCUGAGACACCUGCUGGAGCACACAUUUCAGUAUCAGAAAGACUGAAAGGCACUCACAGAGAAAAUGUGAUGUGGAGUAUGAAGCUAGAAAGGCAUUCCACAAUGACACAAAUGAUAUCCUAGUGAAAGAGCAGAAGCUUCAGCCUGCAUUUUGGAAAACUAGGAUGUUCAACGAUGUCUCACCGAAAGCUCAGGAGGACCCUAAAGACACUCACAAAUGUCCUCACGAGAGAGGGACAGGGGGAGAUUGGACCCAGACAGAAGAGGAGGCUGUGUGCCCAGAGGCAGAGAUUGGAGGGAUGCGGCCACAAGCCCAAGGAAGCCGGCAGCCACCAGAAGCUGGAAGUGGCAAGGAACAGAUUCUCCCCUGGAGCAGCCAGAGGAGGCCCAACGCUUUCAACUUCCCCAUAAAGAACAUUCCUUCUCUCACGGGAGUCCCAUUUGCUGAACCCUGGCCCCCACUUCCUCUCAGCCUUCAAGAUAAUAGCUCAGUCAUUCCAUCCUGGACGCACUUUG
rnacentral:lncRNA from 1 species